rnacentral:rRNA from 1 species
AUUGAACGCUGGCGGCAGGCCUAACACAUGCAAGUCGAGCGGAGCGGCGGACGGGUGAGUAAUGCCUAGGAAUCUGCCUGGUAGUGGGGGAUAACGUCCGGAAACGGGCGCUAAUACCGCAUACUAUCAGAUGAGCCUAGGUCGGAUUAGCUAGUUGGUGGGGUAAAGGCCUACCAAGGCGACGAUCCGUAACUGGUCUGAGAGGAUGAUCAGUCAAACUUGAACUUACACACGGUCCCGGCUCCUACGGGGAGCAGCAUUGGGGAAUAUUGGACAAAUGGCCAAAGCCUUGUCCAGCCAUUCCGCGUGUUUGAAGAAGGUCUUCGGGUUGUAAAACCCUUUUAGUUGGGAGGCGUUACCAACAGAAUAAGCACCGGCUAACUUCGUGCCAGCCGCCGCGGUAAUAC